rnacentral:rRNA from 1 species
AUUGAACGCUGGCGGCAGGCCUAACACAUGCAAGUCGAGCGGAUGAAGGGAGCUUGCUCCUGGAUUCAGCGGCGGACGGGUGAGUAAUGCCUAGGAAUCUGCCUGGUAGUGGGGGAUAACGUCCGGAAACGGGCGCUAAUACCGCAUACGUCCUGCGGGAGAAAGUGGGGGAUCUUCGGACCUCAUGCUCUCAGAUGAGCCUAGGUCGGAUUAGCUAGUUGGUGGGGUAAAGGCCUACCAAGGCGACGAUCCGUAACUGGUCUGAGAGGAUGGUCAGUCACACUGGAAGUGAGACAGGGUCCAGACGCCUACGGGAGGCAGCAGUGGGGAAUAUUGGACAAUGGGCGAAAGCCUGAUCCAGCCAUGCCGCGUGUGUGAAGAAGGUCUUCGGAGUGUAAAGCACUUUAAGUUGGGAGGAAGGGCAGUAAGUUAAUACCUUGCUGGUUUGACGGUACCAACAGAAUAAGCACCGGCUAACUUCGUG